UUAAGCGACUAAGCGUACACGGUGGAUGCCCUGGCAGUCAGAGGCGAUGAAGGACGUGCUAAUCUGCGAUAAGCGCCGGUAAGGUGAUAUGAACCGUUAUAACCGGCGAUUUCCGAAUGGGGAAACCCAGUGUGACUCGUCACACUAUCAUUAACUGAAUCCAUAGGUUAAUGAGGCGAACCGGGGGAACUGAAACAUCUAAGUACCCCGAGGAAAAGAAAUCAACCGAGAUUCCCCCAGUAGCGGCGAGCGAACGGGGAGGAGCCCAGAGCCUGAAUCAGCAUGUGUGUUAGUGGAAGCGUCUGGAAAGGCGCGCGAUACAGGGUGACAGCCCCGUACACAAAAGCGCAUGUGCUGUGAGCUCGAUGAGUAGGGCGGGACACGUGGUAUCCUGUCUGAAUAUGGGGGGACCAUCCUCCAAGGCUAAAUACUCCUGACUGACCGAUAGUGAACCAGUACCGUGAGGGAAAGGCGAAAAGAACCCCGGCGAGGGGAGUGAAAAAGAACCUGAAACCGUGUACGUACAAGCAGUGGGAGCACCCUUUGGGGUGUGACUGCGUACCUUUUGUAUAAUGGGUCAGCGACUUAUAUUCUGUAGCAAGGUUAACCGAAUAGGGGAGCCGGAGGGAAACCGAGUCUUAACCGGGCGUUAAGUUGCAGGGUAUAGACCCGAAACCCGGUGAUCUAGCCAUGGGCAGGUUGAAGGUUGGGUAACACUAACUGGAGGACCGAACCGACUAAUGUUGAAAAAUUAGCGGAUGACCUGUGGCUGGGGGUGAAAGGCCAAUCAAACCGGGAGAUAGCUGGUUCUCCCCGAAAGCUAUUUAGGUAGCGCCUCGUGAAUUCAUCUCCGGGGGUAGAGCACUGUUUCGGCUAGGGGGCCAUCCCGGCUUACCAACCCGAUGCAAACUGCGAAUACCGGAGAAUGUUAUCACGGGAGACACACGGCGGGUGCUAACGUCCGUCGUGAAGAGGGAAACAACCCAGACCGCCAGCUAAGGUCCCAAAGUCAUGGUUAAGUGGGAAACGAUGUGGGAAGGCCCAGACAGCCAGGAUGUUGGCUUAGAAGCAGCCAUCAUUUAAAGAAAGCGUAAUAGCUCACUGGUCGAGUCGGCCUGCGCGGAAGAUGUAACGGGGCUAAACCAUGCACCGAAGCUGCGGCAGCGACGCUGAUGCGUUGUUGGGUAGGGGAGCGUUCUGUAAGCCUGUGAAGGUGGCCUGUGAGGGUUGCUGGAGGUAUCAGAAGUGCGAAUGCUGACAUAAGUAACGAUAAAGCGGGUGAAAAGCCCGCUCGCCGGAAGACCAAGGGUUCCUGUCCAACGUUAAUCGGGGCAGGGUGAGUCGACCCCUAAGGCGAGGCCGAAAGGCGUAGUCGAUGGGAAACGGGUUAAUAUUCCCGUACUUGGUGUUACUGCGAAGGGGGGACGGAGAAGGCUAUGUUGGCCGGGCGACGGUUGUCCCGGUUUAAGCGUGUAGGUGUGUGUUCCAGGUAAAUCCGGUUCACUUUAACACUGAGGCGUGAUGACGAGGCACUACGGUGCUGAAGCAACAAAUGCCCUGCUUCCAGGAAAAGCCUCUAAGCAUCAGGUAACAUCAAAUCGUACCCCAAACCGACACAGGUGGUCAGGUAGAGAAUACCAAGGCGCUUGAGAGAACUCGGGUGAAGGAACUAGGCAAAAUGGUGCCGUAACUUCGGGAGAAGGCACGCUGACAUGUAGGUGAAGUGAUUUACUCACGGAGCUGAAGUCAGUCGAAGAUACCAGCUGGCUGCAACUGUUUAUUAAAAACACAGCACUGUGCAAACACGAAAGUGGACGUAUACGGUGUGACGCCUGCCCGGUGCCGGAAGGUUAAUUGAUGGGGUCAGCGCAAGCGAAGCUCCUGAUCGAAGCCCCGGUAAACGGCGGCCGUAACUAUAACGGUCCUAAGGUAGCGAAAUUCCUUGUCGGGUAAGUUCCGACCUGCACGAAUGGCGUAAUGAUGGCCAGGCUGUCUCCACCCGAGACUCAGUGAAAUUGAACUCGCUGUGAAGAUGCAGUGUACCCGCGGCAAGACGGAAAGACCCCGUGAACCUUUACUAUAGCUUGACACUGAACAUUGAGCCUUGAUGUGUAGGAUAGGUGGGAGGCUUUGAAGUGUGGACGCCAGUCUGCAUGGAGCCGGCCUUGAAAUACCACCCUUUAAUGUUUGAUGUUCUAACGUGGACCCGUGAUCCGGGUUGCGGACAGUGUCUGGUGGGUAGUUUGACUGGGGCGGUCUCCUCCUAAAGAGUAACGGAGGAGCACGAAGGUUGGCUAAUCCUGGUCGGACAUCAGGAGGUUAGUGCAAUGGCAUAAGCCAGCUUGACUGCGAGCGUGACGGCGCGAGCAGGUGCGAAAGCAGGUCAUAGUGAUCCGGUGGUUCUGAAUGGAAGGGCCAUCGCUCAACGGAUAAAAGGUACUCCGGGGAUAACAGGCUGAUACCGCCCAAGAGUUCAUAUCGACGGCGGUGUUUGGCACCUCGAUGUCGGCUCAUCACAUCCUGGGGCUGAAGUAGGUCCCAAGGGUAUGGCUGUUCGCCAUUUAAAGUGGUACGCGAGCUGGGUUUAGAACGUCGUGAGACAGUUCGGUCCCUAUCUGCCGUGGGCGCUGGAGAACUGAGGGGGGCUGCUCCUAGUACGAGAGGACCGGAGUGGACGCAUCACUGGUGUUCGGGUUGUCAUGCCAAUGGCACUGCCCGGUAGCUAAAUGCGGAAGAGAUAAGUGCUGAAAGCAUCUAAGCACGAAACUUGCCCCGAGAUGAGUUCUCCCUGAGACUUAGAGUCUCCUGAAGGAACGUUGAAGACGACGACGUUGAUAGGCCGGGUGUGUAAGCGCAGCGAUGCGUUGAGCUAACCGGUACUAAUGAACCGUGAGGCUUAACCUU
rnacentral:rRNA from 1 species